rnacentral:rRNA from 1 species
CCUACGGGCGGCAGCAGUGAGGAAUAUUGGUCAAUGGGCGCGAGCCUGAACCAGCCAAGUAGCGUGAAGGAUGACUGCCCUACGGGUUGUAAACUUCUUUUAUAAAGGAAUAAAGGGCGGUACGUGUGCCUUUUUGCAUGUACUUUAUGAAUAAGGAUCGGCUAACUCCGUGCCAGCAGCCGCGGUAAUCCGGAGGAUCCGAGCGUUAUCCGGAUUUAUUGGGUUUAAAGGGAGAGUAGAUGGUUUGUUAAGUCAGUUGUGACAGUUUGCGGCGCAACCGUAAAAUUGCAUUUGAUACUGGCAGUCUUGAGUACAGUAGAGGUAGGCGGAAUUCGUGGUGUAGCGGUGAAAUGCUUAGAUAUCACGAAGAACUCCGAUUGCGAAGGCAGCUUACUAAACUGCCACUGACAUUGAUGCUCGAAAGUGUGGGUAUCAAACAGGAUUAGAUACCCUGGUAGUC